rnacentral:tRNA from 1 species
UGGAUUCAUAGCUCAGUGGUAGAGCAUUCGGCUGCAGUCCGAAUGGUCCCCGGUUCAAACCCGGGUGGGUCCUCCAUUUUUUUCUGAGGU